CAGAUGGUUGUCAGAUGGUGUAUGAUGGUGUAGGGUGGUUAUACAGGGAAGGGUUGUCAGAUGGCGAAGAUGGCACAGAUGGUGUAUGAUGGUCGAAAUGUGUCGGAUGGUUGUCAGAUGGUGUAUGAUGGUGUAUGAUGGUCGAAAUGUGUCAGAUGGUUGUCAGAUGGUGUAUGAUGGUGUAGGGUGGUUAUACAGGGAAGGGUUGUCAGAUGGUGAAGAUGGUACAGAUGGUGUAUGAUGGUCGCGGGGUGUCAUUCGCUGUAGGAUGCUUAUAUUAGAUAUUACAUUGCUAUAUUUUAUACUUACAUACAC